rnacentral:rRNA from 1 species
UACGUGGGGGGCAAGCGUUGUUCGGAAUUACUGGGCGUAAAGGGCGCGUAGGCGGCCAACUAAGUCGGAUGUGAAAUCCCCAGGCUCAACUUGGGAACUGCAUCCGAUACUGGUCGGCUUGAAUCCGGGAGAGGGAUGCAGAAUUCCAGGUGUAGCGGUGAAAUGCGCAGAUAUCAGGAGGAACACCGAUGGCGAAGGCAGGUCUCUGGGCCACUACUGACGCUGAGAAGCGAAAGCAUGGGGAGCGAACAGG